ensembl:lncRNA
CAUAGAGUAAGAGUUUCAGGGGGCUGGGUUUCACUUUCGGUUUUGCUUCUCGCUUGCUGUACAGACCACGCCGGCUGGCUAGGUCGCUCUGUAAAAAUUUGCACAGGAAAUUAGCAAGAAGAACAUCUAUAGCAUAAACGAUUAUAACACAUCAUUUCCUAUGAAAUAUCAUUUUGUCUGAGAUGAUUGCUUCAGAGGAGGCAGUGGGGAACAUCAAGAACAGUUAAGGGAGAUGACAAGAAUAUUAGCAGAAGCAGAGCAAUCUUCACAAUGAGAUCACAGGAUUCAAUGCAGAGGAAUGACAGAAGUACAGCCUGAGUCAGAGUGUUUCAGACUACAUGCAUUGCCUAAUGAAGAUAAUGAAGAUGAUUACAAGAACAAUCCUUUUGAUGUAUAAAGAAGAACAUAACUCCAGACAUGAUGGAAGGGAUGUAUAAGAAAGCUCAUGCUGCUCUCUGAGAGAUUCCAGUCUAUAAGCAGAAGCCUGAGAGAAGUGAAGAUGAAGAGAUAUCAUUGAGUAAUCGAAUAAUUGAGGAAUAUGCUAGAUGCAUUAUGAAGAUGCAUGGUAUCCAUGAUUUUUUAUUGAAUUUGAUCUUCAAAAUUUUACUACCUGUCCCGCGCGAUCGUCUCGCCAGCAAGAAUGACACAGGACACUUGGAUGCUUCUGCAGUAAAGCUUUAAUGCAUCUUGAGAGAGAGAGCAUAAGCUUACAGAGCGGAGACCCCAAACUCCCAAAACCCAUCCCUUAUAAAAGCUGGCAACUGCCGCCUCGGACGUGUUACCCUCUGACUCGCUGCAGCUCAUCGGACCAUAUGACGCCACGGAAGAGGAAGAGGCAGAGACCAAGGGAUGGAAAGUUACCCAGUGCCUGCGCACUAACUUGUUUACACUCUGUGCCUGCCGGAUGCAGGCACCAUCUUGUAAUGGAGAAUGCAGGGACGGCUCCCUACAUCUCCCCCUUUUUUAUUAAUUAAUGAUAAGGCUUCAUAUUUUUACAAGCAAAUAGGUCACCCAAAUGUUGAGGGAUAGAGGCAGAGGUUGUACCUUCCCAAUCAAGCAUUAAGACUGUGUACAAGAGUUGCCAUCAGGCAGUUAGCUUGACCCAAAGUGCUCUCGACCUGUCCUCUGCCAUUUUUUCUGGGAAAGGGAGACUAGGGCAGGCAACCCUUAUGCAGGACAACAUGCCUCCCAGAGAAGCCUGCAUACUGGGCAACUCUCUGUGCGAUGCCUUGCUCGACAUCCCUCAUGGGCUGCUCAAGCCAGACACUCUACCCUGUGCAAUGAGCCUAAGCGCCUGCGCACUAACUUGUUUACAUUCAGUGCCUGCUGGAUGCAGGCGCCAUCUUGUAAUGGAGAAUGCAGGGACGGCUCCCUACAACUACCUAGCUUCUAUUUAUAAAAGGAAUUUUGUAUUUUAUAAAUAUUUUUAUAUAGUGAUAUUUUUCUUCCAGCAUAUUUUACAUGUCAAUCCCAGGUCCCUCUCCCUCCCAUCCUCACCUGCCCCCACAACUAACAUCCUACCUAUUCCAUACCCUUUCUGCUCCCCAGGGUGGUUGAGGCCUUCUACAGGGGGUCUUAAAAAUCUGUCAUAUUCUUUGGGAUAGGGCCUAGACCAACCCCCUGUGUCUAGGCUCAGGGAGUAUCCCUCCAUGUGGGAUGGGUUCCCAAAGUCCAUUCCUAUGCUAGGUAUAAGUACUGAUCCACUACUAGAGGCCCCAUAGAUUUCCAAGAUUUCCUCACUGACAUUCAAGGGGUCUGGAUCAGUCCCAUACUGGUUUCCCAGCUAUCAGUCUCAGGACCAAGAGCUCUCCCUUGUUCAAGUCAGCUUUUCUGUGGGUUUCACUAGCCUGGUAUGGACCCCUUUGCUCAUCAGUCCUCCUUCUCUCCAACUGGAUUUCAGUUCAGUUCAAGGCUUAGCUGUGGGUGUCUGCUUCUACUUCCACCAACUCCUGGAUGAAGGCUAUACUAUGGCAUAUGAAUUAGUCAUCAAUCUCAUUAUCAGGACAGGGCAUUUAGGGUAACCUCUCCUCUGUUGCUUAGGUUGUUAGCUGGUGUCAUCUUUGAAGAUCUCCAGACAUUUCCCUAAUGCCUGAUUUCUCUUUAAACCUAUAAUGUCUCCCUCUAUUAUAUUAUCUCUUAUCUUGCUCUUUUCUGUUCUUCCCCCAACUCAACCUCUAUGCCCUGUCAUGUCUUUCUCACCCCUCUACUUGUCCCCUUCUCAUUCUAUAUAAAACUUUUACCUAUGCUUUGAACAUUCUUGAUCAAAAAUAUAUCUGAAAUAUUUUUUCUAUAAAAAUUCACAUCUAAACUUUGUUAUUUUCAUAUGCCCUGUAGAUGUCUUUUAAUUAUUAUUUUACCCAAUUAAAGUAAUUUGUAAUUUAAACUUCAACACACAUUUAGUUAUUAUAUUUGUUAUGCUGUGAUGUGAAUCUAAUAUUAGAUUUAGUUCCUUAUUUCUAGAGGCUGCUAUUUCUAUUAUAAAAUUAACUGAACAUUCCUGCAAAUAAGAGCAAAGUACUUUCCUCACUACUGGUUAUUUUUAAAGUUCUAUGGUUGUCAGUGCAUGUGUUGUACAUUGCUUAAGCAUUUUUAUUCUACAUAUUAAUUUAUAUUCUCCAUUUUGCUAUAAUUGUAUUUGUGUUUAUUCUAUAAUAUCUAUAUGUACUUUGAUGCUAGCCUUUACUUUGUUUUAGUUCAGUUGUUUCUUCACUCACUUAUUAGGUAUUGCUUAUUUGUAUCUUUGCAAGUUAGUUUUCACUUCAAUCCCAGCAUUUCCAAAUCCAUUGUUUUUACUGUUCCUCCUAAUUAAUUGUUGUUUCUUGAUUUCCUGCUUUCAGUUACUGAGCUUCAUUUGUUCACAGCAGUCACUUUCUACCUACACAGACGCUAAUACAGCAUUGUCCUGCUUAUUGUGAAAAUCUGUAGUUUUUCUGUGUGCUUGAGGAGAAAGGAGUGAAUGACCCUGCUGCUUAGUGGUUUUUUGAGGUGGGUUGAUGUUAGAUAGAAGCUGUGACUUAAGGGAGUUGGAACCAACCUGGAGUCAUCAGUGUUGCUUCAAAGUCCUUGAUUUCCCAAAGAAAGCAACCUAGUUUGGACUCAACAAACAAGGACCCUGGUUUUGUUGCCCACAGUGUUGUAAGAUCAAGAAUAUAUCACUGAUUCUGGCAGAAGAAAGCAGUUUUUGUUGGGAGAUGGUAUAUCCUUCUGAAUACACCCUCAUGUGCUUUUUUCCUUGUACAGACAGUAUUCUUUGAGUGUUUUCAAGGUUGUGGCUAGAGGCAAGCUCUUUAUGCUCGCUCUUCAGUUUACUAAGAAUGGGGUUGAUUCUGGGACUCAGGCAUCCUAGGUGACUUGUAUCUGGAGAGGCCAAAUGAAUUGGAUCAUCCAUGAGCUGUAAUUACCAGUAGCUUGUUAUCCAAGACAGUACAUUUUUUUCAUAAAGGCAUCAAUUUAAUUUGGUAUAUAUUUCAUAUAUCUGCAAUUAUUAUGUCGUUUCCUAGAUGUUAUAUAUUUUAUGUGCAUUGUCUUAUCUUAUUCUUUCAGGUCAUUUUGAUUAAAUUUUAUUCAUUAGAUAGGUCUAAUUUGUAUUGAUAAAAGUAUUCAGACUAGACUGGAGAGAUAGCUCAACAGACCUGAGUGCAUCCUGUGUAAGCAUAAGUACCCAUGUUCAAAUACCCAGAAUUGCAUAUAAAAUAUAGUCAUGGUUGUACAUAUCUGUAAUCCCAAUGCUAGAAGAGAUGAAUGAACAUAGUAGGAUAUCUGGAGUUUGCUGACUACAAGUCUAGCUUCACAUUCCCUUUGAGACUCUGUCUUAGGUGAAUCAGGCAUGAAUGAUUGAGCAAGAUAGCUGAUUCUGUUCUUUUACCUACACAUAUUCAAUAAAUAUGUUAUCUGCAAAGACAUGCACAUACAUAAUAUGCAUACUAACACUGUAAAGUCAUACCUGAAAAUCACCUAAGAUUACAACAUCUCUAUAGUUAUGUCAUUCAAGAAAAUCCAUAGUCUGACUUGGAAUAUCACUAUUAUCAAUCUUUAGAUAAUUAAUUUUACAUGACAUUUUACUUUUAAUAUAAGAGAAUAAAAUGAUGACACAUUAUACAUAUAUUGUUAUUAUAUAGUAUAGUUUACAAUUGCAUAUAGUAAUUGUGAUUAAAACAUUAUCAUGUGAUUUUAAUACAAAACCAUUGUUGGCUGGUUGAACCCAUUAGGUUGACCAUAAGUGUCGGUAGGAGGUAUGUCAUUUAAAGUUGAUUCAAGUCUUCACUUUCCAAUAAAGACUUCCAAAAAUGAGAAUGAAAGCCAUUGAAGAUGAUUGGAACUGUUUGCAGUAUCUACCAGAAAUAGAAAAGUUUCCCCACUGUCUAUGUCAUUUUGAUGCUGUUCUGAGAACUUAGAGUUCACAGGCAGUGCAGAGGCAAAUUAGAAAAGAAACAUAAAGUAGAAGUAUUUGUGUAUAGCACAUUGCCCAGAGUGGUGACAAAUUGGCCUUUCUAAAAAUGAUAUGGUGCUGUGGAGACAGUUAGGGCUUGUUAGUAAUACUUACAGGUCCCAAGGGGUUCAAAGAGUUCAGGAAAAAACUGAACUAUAUUCUAUUCACUAUAUUUUCACAAAAUUCAAAAGUUUUUGCAAAACUCACUUAGAGACUCUUCUGGGAAAAGCAUAUUUUGCUACUGUUUUUAGGUAAAACUGGCUAUAUUUUCAGAAUGAUAUCCCAAGCAACUUUUGCCUGGCAUACAUGGACCAUGAACCUGGCCACUAUGAGGAAGCUCAUGUCAUCAUGACAGCUGGACUUGACAGGAGCCACAUUUCUGGGCAACAGUGUCUGACAAAUGUAAUUUUGGUAAUAGGUUUUCUAAAGCAGUAAUCACUCUUAAAUAUAUUUUGCACUCUUUGACUUCACUUUUGAAUUAUAAUAAUCCUAAGUGACUAGCUUGUUAUUCUCCAUUUUUAAUUUAUCUAUGCAAGUAUUGUGUAUUUUAAUUCCUCUUCUCUUCAUAUCCAUUAAUUUACUCUUUUGUAGUAUUAUACCUAUAUUCAGUCCUUUACACAGACCAUUCCAAGACUUCUCAAUUUUCAAUUGUUUUAUUCUAUGUUUUCCCCAGUUACUUGGCCAAAGUAUCAUUGUUACCUCUCUAGAAUUAUUGCAUUGGUCUUACAAGCAGUCUUUCUAAUUCUUGUCUUGACCCUCAUAAACUAUCCUUAAUAUCACAGCUGCUAUGAUUGGUAUCUAAAUAGAUAAAUGGUAAAAAAAUUACUGGUAGAUAGGUGAUGGGUAGACAGAUUAUAAGUAGAUGCAUAGAUACAUAGAAAAAUAAAUAGACAAGUGUAGGUAGAUGAUGUACAAAUACAAGGUAGAUAGAGCCAUAGAUAUGUAGAUUUGUAGACACAUAGAUACAUACAUAGGUAGAGAUUAUGUACCUUUAAUGAAAUGCUAGCAAUGCAGAGCUGUCCACUGGCUCAAAGAGCACAUUGUCUGCUCUGAGUGUUCUAAAAGUCACUCUGAUCUCCUUUCUUGCUGAUUAUUUUCUUUUCAACAUUUCACUUUGCCUAUACGGUACAAAAGUACAGAAUUGAGUUAAUUAUCUGUUUCAUAAAUCAGUUUCAUCCCAUUGUGAACAGAAUGAAGCAGUUUCCUAGAAUCUGAUAGAAAGCGCAUAUUACAAUAAAAUAAGGUAGAAUUUCUUGAAUGCAAUGACUUUUUAAUAAGUAGCAAUGAUCCAAAAUGGAAGUUAUAGGGAAAACUUUUCUUAGAUUUGAGAAUCCUUAUUUCUUUUUCAUUUUGAAAACAUUUUAUUUUUAAUUAAAUUACUACUCUUGGUCCUAUGUUUAAUCCUGGAAUCAAAACCUUCCAACUGAUUAGAAUUCGGAAGAAGAAAUAAAGAAUUGUGUUUUGUUGUUGCAUAUUUGACUGUUGAAAUUGUAUGUACUUAAUUAUGCAAUGAGAUAAAUAUAUUAUAAUCAAUUUGAAAAAUUCUAAAAGAAGCAUUUUUCUUAUUUUAAACAAACUUCAUUAUAUGUGCCAUUUUGAGUAAAUAUUGUGUCACUGUGUAUUUCCAAGCUUUCAUUGGAAAGCAUAUGUGAGAACCGAUGACGAUUUUCAGCACCUUGUUAUAUUAAAACAUCUUUACCAAUCAGUUUACUCAUUGAAUCUAAAGGAACAGUUAUCUUUUGUACUAUAAUGGCCAUGUCAGUUGUUACCUAGCAGGAAAUUAACUCAUCUUAUUUCUUUGAAAAUCUUCCUUUAAUAAUUAAAACAUGAAACUGGUCUAACAUGUUUUUCUGAUAAAUUGUAACAGUGUG